rnacentral:rRNA from 1 species
UUUAAAUUUAUUUAUUUAAAUAUUUAUAUAUAUAUAUAUAUAUAUAUAUAUAUAUUAAAAAUAGUUAUAAAAUAAAAAUUUUUAGUAUUAAUUUAAGAAAAAAUAUUAUUAAUUAUAGAAUAUUAGUAUUGAAAAAGAAAAUUGAAAUAAUUAUGAAAAAUAAUAAUUAUAAAAGAAAAAUUAAUUUUUUGUACCUUGUGUAUCAGGGUUUAUUAAAUAAAAUUUAAUUAAUAUAAAUUUCUCGAUUUUAAAAGAUUUAAUAUAUUAUAAAAUAUAAGGUAAUAAAUUUAUUUUUAAUAAUAUAUUUGAAAUGAAAUGUUAUUCGUUUUUAAAGGUAUCUAGUUUAUUAAGAAAUAAAUUUAAUUUAUAAAUUUUAUAUUAUUUAUUUAAUUUUAAAAAUAAAUAAAUAUUUAAUUUAAAUAUUUUAUGGGAUAAGCUAUAAAAUAAAAUUUUAUAAAUAAAAAAUUUAUUAUAUUAAAUAUAGGGUUAAAAUUAUUCAUUAUUGAGAAAAAUGUAAUAAUUUAUUAUAAAAUUAUAAAAAAAUUUAUUUUAUUUUAAUUAUUUAUUAAUAUAUAUUUUUUAAUUUGUUAAAAUUAGAAAUAAUGAUAAAAUUAGUAUAAAUUUUUAUAUAAAUAUAUUUAUUUUUUAAAUUUUUUUAAAGAAUUCGGCAAAUUAAUAUAUUCACCUGUUUAACAAAAACAUCUCUUUAUGAUUAAAUAUAAGGUUUAACCUGCCCACUGAAUUUUUAAAUGGCUGCAGUAUAUUGACUGUACAAAGGUAGCAUAAUCAUUAGUUUUUUAAUUGGAAACUAGAAUGAAUGGUUGAAUGAAAUAUAAACUGUUUCAAUAAAAAUAAUUUAGAAUUUUAUUUUUUAGUAAAAAAGCUAAAAUAAUUUUAAAAGACGAGAAGACCCUAUAAAUCUUUAUAUAAAUUAUAAAUAUUUAAUUAUUUAGAAGUUUAUAAAAUAUUUAUUAUUUAUAUUUUAUUGGGGAGAUAAUAAAAUUUAAAAAACUUUUAUUUUUAAAAUUCAUUAAUUUAUGAAUUAUUGAUUAAUUAUUAAUGAAUAAUAAAAUAAGUUACUUUAGGGAUAACAGCGUAAUUAUUUUGGAGAGUUCAUAUUGAUAAAAUAGA